AUUUAUCCCCAGUGCCAGCAUCUCCCCUUGAUUUUCUGCCUUCGUCUCUUCACUUACCCAUCCCUUCAUCCACAGCGUUUUCCCUCUGAGGAGCCACCUACUCUCGACAAGCCGCUGGAUUACCUACCCCCUCAGUAAUUUUUUCACUUCAAGAAAUGCAAAGUCUAAGCCAAAGGAAUGAAUGGCUAAAGUCUCUAGUUGCUAGGUCACAGCAAUGGUGCACGGAAAUACCAAGUAGCCAGGAAAAAAACAAAACCAAAGAAAAAGAACAAGACCAAACCCAGAUCCUGUGAGUUCGCUAGGACUAGGAUCAUUGCUCCUACUCUCAUGUUGAAGAUGAGACGACAGACUUGGAAAGGUCCUGGGAUUGUCCCCCAAGUUAUAUAGCUCCCCAACUUGGCUCCAGAACUGCUUACACCGUGGUGGUGACAGAGGCUGGCCCAUGAUGCCGUUGGCGCUGGCACGGGCUGCAGGAACUACCCUACCCAUGCAUUCGAUUGCCACCCACCCUUUCAUCUGACCUGCCCCCUUCAGCAUUCCAGCCCACAUUAUUAAGACCACAGUGGCAGCCAUUUUGGAGGCCCAACUGGACAGGUACCAUUCAUGGACUCCAUUUUAUUCUACUUUUUAAAAGCCAUUUUAUAUACUUUUUAUUUUAAGCUCCAUAAGAAAUACAUGAGUACAGAAACAACGUAAGACCUUCCCAUAACCUAAAAGAAUAUAAAGUCAACAAGUAAAAACUCAUCUUAACUGUCUCUCUGUACUCCUCCAUCUCCUGCCUCAAGACACGUACUCUCAGUCUCACUCACCUCGCUGGAGGUAGCCACCGAGAUCAUUGGUACGUAUUGUCCAGCAAAACAAUUGUCACAAUGGUUGCUACAGACUAGAGAUUGCCAUACGCCCCCUGUUCUCCUAGUUCUGUCCAGUUCAAUGUCAUGUAAAUAUGAGGGCCCAGGCUAGGCCGGCUCAGAAGUUCCAGGUAGGGCGGGUCGCAAUGUGGAUUUGACCAAGAGCAGUGGCCAUGGAAAUAGCCCAGAGGACACAAGCACAGUGUGUCUAUGAUCACCUCAUGGCCUGACUAGUUUUCCACCUCUCAUCCACUCCUUUAUCAUAAAUGGAACUUGAACACCUCCUUUCUCAUCUCUAGAACCAGAGCUGGCUUUGAGAAGGAGAGUUUUAAUAAGCACUUCCCCAGCAGUCUGUCACUCAGCAUCAAGUCAACUUUGCUUUUGGUCUUGGCCGAACCUUGUUCCUGGGUUUUUACAGCGUGUCUGCAGGGCCCAACCCUGAUUU
rnacentral:lncRNA from 1 species